rnacentral:lncRNA from 1 species
AGACGUCACAAGAGGAGCGGAGGCGAGGGGUGAAAGCGAAGCACUCCAAUCAGAGAGUCAUUGUUUCUAUUGGCACAAUGGGAGGCUCCGCCCCUCACGGAGGACUCGUCGCAUGGGCGAGGGGGCUCCAGGGGUUGUCGGCUAAACGUGAGAGAUAGUCCAGGAGGUACACUAUACGGACCGGCCUCCAAAGGCAGAAUUGAUAACGAGAUGCAGCGCCGGGUGCAGAGGACGCGGGCAUCCCGACACCCAGGAAGAGAGACGGGGUCUCACCAUGUAUUGAACUCCCGGUCUUGAACUCCUGGGCUCAAGCAAUCCGCCCGUCUUGGCCUCCCGAAGUGCUGGGAUUAUAGGUGUGAGCAACCGUGCCUGGCAACCCAGAAGUGGUUUUGACAGCACCAGCGCUUUCUGGGUCCACAAUCUACCAGGUGUACCUUUCCAGGGGAAGACCUGGCCAACCUGUCCAGCUCAAUUAUUCAGCAGUUCUUUGACCUCACUGAGAUCUCCAAUCCAUUGUACAUCAUCUCAGCUAUUGACCUGUGUCAUUAGCCUUAUAGAGUCCAGUGCCAUGGCAACUCCCUGCCCUGUUCUUCUUAGACAAACUUGCUGGGCUAAAAUCUAACCCCAGUUAAAAUAGACUAUGUAUUCUUUGUCUCUAGCGCAGCAGAACAUUGCUGGAGGAAAACAAACAACCAUGAUAAUUGGUCUCAUUUUAUAUUCAUGACCACAAGCCUCAGUAUUAUAUUGGAGGGCCUAUCCAGUGCAGUAGGGCAAGAAAAAUAAUAAAAAGUUAUGAAGAUUGGAAGGGAAAAAAAUCUUAUUCCCAAGCAGUAGGAUUGUAUAUGUAAAAAUUUCAAAAGAACCUAUACGUAAGUUGUUAGAAUGAGUUCGGCAAAGUUGUUGGACACAAGAUCAAUAUAUAAAAAUCAGAUGUAAUUUCUAUAUGUCAGCAACAAUUAGAAAAUAAAUUUCUUGGCUGGGCGGGUUGGCUUAUGCCUGUAAUCCCAGCACUUUGGGUGGCCGAGGCGGGAAGAUCACCUGAAGUCAGGAGUUUGAGACCAGCUUGGCCAACAUGGUGAAACCCUGUCUCUACUAAAAAUACAGAAAUUUAGCUGGGCGUGGUGGUGGGCACCUGUAGUCCCAGCUACUCAGGAGGUUGAGCCAGGAGAAUCAUUUGAACCUGGGAGGCAGAGGUUGCAGUGAACGAGAAAAACAAACAAACAAAAGAAAAGAAAUUUCUUAAAAACAAUGAUGUUUACAAUAGCAUCAAGUAAUAUCAAAUGCUGAGGAAUAAACCUAAUGAAAGAUGUGCAAAGACUACAUACACACAUACAAAAAAACUAUAAAACAUUAUUGAGGGAAACAAAGACAUAGGCCUGGCAUGGUGGCUCAUGCCUGAAAUCUCAGCACUUCGGAGGGCCAAGGCGGGUGGAUCCCUUGAGGUCAGAAGUUCAAUAUCAGUCUGGCCAACAUGGUGAAACCUCAUCUCUACUAAAAACGCAAAAAAAAUUAGCUGGGCAUGCUGUUGUGCACCUGUAAUCCCAGCUACUCUGGAGGCUGAGGCAGGAGAAGUGCCUGAACCUGGGAGGCAGAGGUUGCAGUGAGCCAAGAUCAUGCCAUUGCACUCCAGCCUGGGCAACACAGCCAGACCCUAUCUGAAAAAAAAAAAAAA